rnacentral:lncRNA from 1 species
AUGAAAAUUGAAGCUGACUGGAAAAGUGAACAGGAUCUCUGCAAUAAAGGCACACCAGACCACCAUACUUGCAUCAGUCUCAUCUUGGAGAAGGGUUGUGGCCAAGGACAGGAAGAACAACGCAGAAGAGAGGCCCUAGCAAUGGUCCAGACAAGAGGCAGUAGUGGCUUGGACCAAAAGGAGAGCGGGUAUAGGAAGAUUCUGGAUCUAUGUCAAGAAGACUUGCUGAUGGACUGGAUGCCAAGUGUGAGAGACAAAAUGGCCGUGCUCCAGUGCAGAUGUGACAGCAGUGUGGAGUUCAGGGAAAGGAGUUUUAUGAAUUGGUGGAGACCGGUGAAAACUAAAUGAGACGCCGAGAGAGGCUGUGAAAUUAAUCAUCUUGUUUUUAUCUCUGCGAAGGAUGAAUCCUGGACACUGGAGUCAUCUAGCAGCCACUCUCCAGUUUGAUGGACAAUUCUUUUUCAUUUUCAGCGAAAGAAUUUUGAUUUACUUCUUUCAGGAAAGUUGACAGGAGGCAGGUGGGCCUGUGACUCUUUGAUUCAUGGUUAAACCUAAUAUUUUUCUUGACUGUAAGAAUCUAUCAUUAGUGGUUCUGGAAAGAUGGGCACGGGAGGAAUUCUGGUACAGAAGCAUUGAAAGGAAAACAAAAAGGUUUUAAAAAAUAAAGCAAAGGUAUUAUUAUGUUGAAGUAGGAAGCUCAGGAAUGAAUCACUUCAAUGUCCAAAAACACAACCUCAUAAAGAUGCUGCCCCAAACCUUGAUGUUUCUUCUUCAGCACAAUCAUGAGGUCCUCAGCCUCCUACUGCCUGUCUCCUGUACUGAUCCCCACUGCAAACCUACCACACCUUCCUUGGCUGACAAGUUGCAAGCCUCUUACUAAGUAACUUCAGAUCUCAGAUAUAAGAGUACAAUUUCCAGGUGAGUUACAAAUGAAGCUAGUUGAUACUCAAAUUUUUCCUUGUUUUAUAGGGUUUCAAUGCAUAUAUAUUUUUUUAUUUUAUGUAGGAAAUUUUUAUUUGAUAAAUAUAACUUCAUAAACUUUUAAAAAAUACUGAGUACUGUACAAUAAGUAUACUACAGUUACUGACAAUGCAGAGAAUUUUUAAAGGAUUACAUUAGACAGCCACAGUAUCUGAGGUCCAAAAGUUUAACUAAGUAUUGCUACAUAUUUCCAGCUACUCAUUUUUCAUAAAAAUCUAACAAUCACCAUUAUUACAAACAUAUCAUUAGUUACGACUUUCACUGUCUUUUCACUGUAUGUGAUAUUUCAGUGUGUGACCACACCACAGUUUAUUUCUCCCUCUGUUUCUGAUGGAUACUUGGGUUGUUUCCAGUUUAGGGCGGAGAGAGCCUUGCUCUGGGUUCUAGCACAUGAGUCUUAGCAUUCUGCAUGCCCUCCUCCGUGGGUACACACAAUGACAAGUGUUCUCAGGUGUGAGUUUUCUUUUUUCUUUCUUUUCUCCUCUCCCUCCCUCUUUCUUUUUCUUUCUGGCACUAGAGACUGAACUCCCAGCUCCUUUUCAAAAUUUUUUUUUCUAUUCUGAGACAAGGUCUCACUAAAUCAGUAAGAUGCUCAUGCGGGGCUUGAACUUGUGAUCUUCCUGCUGGGAUUGCAGACCUGUACUGCCACACCUGGCUAAGCCAUGGGUUUUCAUAACGUUAGGAGGCAACAACAGAGAAAUGUUACAUAUACACAUACCCCCACAAGGAGAGGCGAAUCACAGUGGUAUUCUGUCCUCGCCAACAUUACCCUCUUUUCAUUUUAACCAUGCAGAUAUGUUUGUAGUAGUAAUUCAUCAGGAUUUGACUCUUUUAUAUUUUUAUUCAACUUCACUGAGGUACAUGUUACAUGCCACAAAAAUCACUGAUUUUAAAUAUUCAAUCAGUUUUGGUAAAUGCUUGUACCAGUGUGACUACCACCAUAAUUAAGGUAAACACACACAUGCACAAACACG